GAAAGCGAUGGGAGGUGGAAUUGAUGUGAGUUUUGACUGUGCUGGCUUUAACAAAACUAUGUCGACCGCCCUUGGUGCAACUCGUCCAGGUGGCAAAGUUUGCUUGGUGGGAAUGGGACAUCAUGAGAUGACCGUUCCUCUCACUCCAGCUGCUGCAAGGUACAACUAUGCAUCAAUCUUACUUGAGUUGAAUUUGGCUAUAUGAAUCCUCACAGAUCAUCUCGCUUUGUUUGAGUUCGUCGUAUACCAAAUAGUAUACGAAAUAAAAAAUAAGUAGUACUAGAAGUCCUUUAUGUUUUUUUACUGGCAUAUAAAUCUCAAACAAGACUAAUAGACUACUAAAAAUCAUAGGAUCUAAAGUUAACAUACUAGCAUGAUUAUAAAAUAUAUUCCCAACUAAUUGGUAUUGCUUAUACCUAUGAUACUCGGACUCUUCAAAAAUGUCACCAAGUGUGUAUCAGAUCCUCCAUAAUAGUGCAUUUUUAAGGAUCCGGCACGAAUGCGACUAUUUUGGUGAGAGUCUGAGUAACAAAGGCUUAUAUAGAUCUUUUCCUGACUAAAUCUGUUGUUACUCUUCACUAACAAUAAGCUUACAGUUUGCAUGUUUCUGUAUCCUUUUUGCCAUUAUAUUAAUUUUCGGGCAAAUUGUGCUCAGGGAGGCGGAGGCCAAUGUCACUGGCUUAUAUCUUUACUUAGAAUGCAUGGCCUUGUAUAUCUCGAGUUCUUGAGAAGUGGAAAGUUAGAUACGAAACCUUCUAAGUUAGAGUCGACUAUCUGAAUCCUCAUUGAUCAUGUCUCUCUAUUUUAGUUCGUCGUAGAUCGAAAUUAUACAGAAUAGCAAAAAUAAUAAUAACAGAAAGCACUAGAAAUUCUCUAUAUUUUCUAGUUGGUAUUGCUCAUAUUGAUCGUUUUUCGAGACGGAGUCUGGGCUCUAUCGGAAACAACCUUACUACUCUACAAAGGUAGUGGUAAGCCCAGCGUACACCCUACCCUCUCCAGACUCCACUUAUGGGAGUAUACUGAGUAUGUUGUUGUUGUUGAUUGUUUUCCCGAUUAAACUUUUGUUACUCUCACACUAAUUUUCUGGGCAAAAUGUGUUCAGGGAGGUCGACAUCAUCGGCAUAUUUCGCUACAAGAAUACAUGGCCAUUGUGUCUUGAGUUCUUAAGAAGUGGAAAGAUUGAUGUGAAACCUAUGAUCACACACAGGUUUGGAUUCUCUCAAAAAGAAGUUGAAGAAGCUUUUGAAACAAGUGCUCGUGGUGGUGAUGCUAUUAAAGUCAUGUUUAAUCUGUAAAAAUAAACUUUUUAAAUUUGAGAAAAUAAGUUUUUACCAAAUGUCUAAAAAAUGUACAUCAUAAAAAGAUGUUUUAUGCUUUUGAAAACUACUAUGUAUUAGUUGAAAAUGUUGAGAAUGGUCAAAUAAAGUAGAUGGUUAACUUAUUUACGUAAUGAACAUUUGAGAACAUGUGCGUUUUUUUUUUCUACCAUGGAAAUAUCAAGUUAUUAGUGUUUAAACAUUUUUUUUCUUUUUUUGGGGUUCAACUUCGAAUAUAUUUGGGCAUAAACUUACGAAAAUUUCUUCUUUCACUUUAAUAUUUUUUUUACCAGAAUUUCUAAAACAACAGAAAAUUGUUUUUUUUUUUUUUUUUAAAAUUCAAAAUGACAAAAAGUUGUUUUCAAUCCAAAUUACUCAUAAAAAUUUAAAAACAACUCUAAUUUAUUUCAUGACCAAACACAAUUAGGCAUUUGUCCAUGUUUCAUUAGGAAAAUAGAAAAAAACAUAAUAUAUAAAUAUGUCUUUUAACUUGGCUUUAUUUCACAUUUAUGCCCUUCAACUUUAGGAUACACAAGUACACACUUAAAUUCGUAUAAAGUUGAACAAAUAGGCACACACGUCCUACGUGACAUCAUACAUGGUAAUUUGUGUCCUACAUGGUAUCCUAAGUGUAUUAUACCACAGAAGACUCAUGUGUCUACUUGUUUAAUCUUAUACAAGUUUAAGUGUAUGUUUGUGCUCAUUAAAAGUUGAAGGGCAUAAAUGUGAAAUGAGACCAAAUUAAAGGACAUAUUUAUGUAUUAAAAUUAUUUUUGUUUUCAAAGUAAAAAUAGUAAUUUCAAAAUCAAAGUCAACAUCUACUUUUUCGACUUAAGUUAAUAAAGUAAUUUAAAUUUAAUAAAAAUAAACACUUUUAGUUAAUCUCCUUUCUCACUUUGAAAACAAAAAUAAUUUUUUUUCCACUUUACCAAGGAGCAUGGUCAAAACGCCUACACACCGUUCAAUUUUACAUUAUUGAUUUGUUGACUCUAGCUAAUUGACACACUAACUUUCGAAUGAUCAAGUCAUAAUGAUCAGAUUAAAAAUUGAUGCUUUUUUGGCCGUGUGAAACGCUUGACAUGAAAGGAGGGCUAUCCAAAAAGUUUUUUUUUCUUCUGAAACCGCAUCACAGAGGAGUAGAGCCGCCGCGACACUUCCUUACUAGAUCUGACUUUCCUCUUUUUUUUCUCCUCCAUCGGAACCUAAAAAAAGAAUCUCUUUAACUAAGAAUGCUCAUUUUUGUCAAACUUAAAGGACUAAACUAAUAAAAAAUAUAGCUAAGGGUCUACUUUAAACCAACACCUAAAUAUAAGGGACCAUUUUUUUUAUUUAAUAGAAGUUGACUCUGAAGUUUUCAUAUAUAGUUCAUCCUAAAACUCACACCACAAAUUAACAAAACACAAAUUAAUUUUAUGUUCUUGAUUUGUUCAAACAAAUCAUAUUUUCUCUUGCAAUGUCUGAUUAUAUUUCUUUUUUUCUUGUAAUAUUUCUUCUUUUUUUCUUUCCAUCACACAAUUUAGCUCAAAAUGAUGGUAGAAUAUCUACUAGUAGUUCUAUUAGUGCAACAAAUGAAAGUACCCCAUGGCUUUCACCAUCUGGUGAUUUUGCAUUUGGUUUCAAAAAAAUUGAAGAAAAUAAAAAUGAGUUCUUGCUUUGUAUAUGGUACGCAAAAAUUCAAGAAAAAACUAUAGUUUGGUAUGCUAAUAUAAGUGAUUUAGUGCCACAAGGAUCAAGAUUGAAUCUUGAUUCUCAAAGUGGUUUAAUACUUAGUGAUCCUCAAGGGAAUACUCUUUGGACAAGUGAUUUGGUUUUCAUUGGUAAUAUUGAUUAUGGAUUGAUGAAUGAUAAUGGGAAUUUUGUUGUAAUGGGAAGUGAUUCUAGUGAUCCAUUAUGGGAAAGUUUUAGAAAUCCAACUAAUACUUUGUUGCCAAAUCAAACAUUGGAAAGAGGAAGCUUCCUUGUUUCUCAAAAGUCGCAAAAUAAGUUCACUCAAGGUACGUACGCGUUCAACUGUGUGACCAACUCAUCUGAUUGUUUUGUUAUGUUAUGUUUCUAACAUGAUAUAUGUAUUCUCUUCUUUUAUUUUUGCGUUGUGGAAGCCGUUUUGUUGUUGGAAUCAUUUUUUUGAAGUAGAUUAUGAGGAUUCAUGAAUAAUUGACUAGUUCUAGUCAUGGUAGUGCAUUUUUUCUUUAGGUCCUGGCUUUCUAGGACGGACACACAAUUGCCAUGUAGGACGUCACAUAUGACGGAUGUGUCUAUUUGUUUAAUUUGAUACGAGUUUAGUGUCGACUUGUGCACAGUCAAAGUUAGAGGCUAUAGAUGUCCGUUGAAGUCGAGUUAAAUGACAUGUUUAUGUGUUAUGCCUAUAUAUGGAGAAACAAACUAAGAUCACUCAAGGUACGUACGCGUUGAGUUGUGUGACCAACUCAUUUGAUUGUUCGAUUAGGUUAUGUUUCACUCAAGGUAUGCGUUGAAUUGCGUAACCAACUCAUAUGAUUGUUUGAUCAUGUUAUGUCUCUAACAUGAUAUAUGAAUUCUUUUUUCUUUUUUUGGAGUUGUGGAAGCCGUUUUGUUGUUGGAAUCCUUUUUUUAAAGAAGAAGAAGAAGUUAAUGGUUGAGGAAGAAAUAAUAGUAGAUUAUGAGGAUUUAUCAAUAAUUGACUAGCUCUAGUCAUGGAAGUGCAUUUUUCGUUAGGUCCUAUGCUUUCUAGGAUGUCACGUAGGACACACAAUUGCCAUGCAAGACACCAGGUAGGACGAAUGUGUCUAUUUGUUCAAUUUUAUACGAGUUUAAGUGUUGACUUGUGCACACUCAAAGUUAGAGGGAAUAGAUGUCAGUUGAAGUUGAGUGAAAUGACCAGUUUAUGUGUUAUGCCUCUAUAUGGAGAAACAUGGUUAGUUAAGAUUCAUACAGCUGACUUCGAAUUGUUUGGAAUUGAAGCGUAGUUGUUAUUGUUAUGUCUUAACACAUAGAUGUCAACUGUUAGAGCUGAGAUUAUGAUUUAAUUAUAUUAUGUCUCGACAGGUAGAUUUUAUCUUCGGAUGCUUGAUAAUGGAAAUUUGGUGCUUGUUACACAAAGUGUGCCUUCGAAUAUGGAUUAUGAUGAUGAGUACUAUAACACUCAAACUUCUGAUCCAACAAAUGCAAUCAAUUCUGGGGAUAAGUUGGUGUUCGAAGAGAAUGGCAUGCUGUAUGUAUUGAAGCGAAACAAUGAAACACAAAUUCUUACUCCGCGAUCCAAUCAUUUAGGUUCGGACAAUUAUCAUCGUGUGACACUUAACUUUGAUGGAGUUCUUAGUCAUUAUUAUCAUUCAAGGAUUUUGAAUAGCAGUGGCUGGAAUAUUCUGUGGUCUCAACCGGAUAAUAUAUGCAUCAAAAUUGAUGGAGACAACGGACCUGGUUCUUGUGGUUACAACAAUGUAUGCAGUCUUGGUUCAAACAACAGACCAGUUUGUAACUGUCCUAAAGGAUAUUCGUUGGUUGAUCCGAACGAUGCUUAUGGUGACUGCAAACCAGAUUUUUCUAUAAGUUGUGAUGAAGUUGGGAGGGGUUCACCUGAUGAUUUAUACAGUUUUAUCACGAUUCGUAAUACUGAUUGGCCGAAAUCAGAUUUUCAGAAAAUUAGCCCUUCUACUGAACAAGACUGCCAAAAUGCUUGUUUGAAUGAUUGCUUUUGUGCUGUUGCCAUUUAUAGAAGCAAUAGUUGCUGGAAAAAGAAACUGCCCUUGUCGAACGGGAGAAUAGACACCAGUUUGAACGCCAAAGCUUUUAUCAAAUUGAGAAAAGAUGGUGUUCUAAGGCCUCUAAGUCCUCCAAGUCCUGGCUUUCCAAUUCCGGAAUCUCAUCAAAAGCAGAGUUGGCGGAUUUUGGCAAUUUUGGCGUCCUCGCUCUUAGGUAGCUCCAUUAUGGUAAAUGUUCUUCUCAUUGGUGUAUUAUGUUGGGGAUUCUUCCACAUUUAUAAAAAGAAAGUGAACGUAUUUUGCCCUACAAGUCACGUGACGGACACUGUCUGUCAUAGUUUUACGUAUAAAGAUCUUGUAGUAGCCACGAAAGAGUUCAACGAAGAGCUAGGCAGGGGUGCAUUUGGGAUUGUUUACAAAGGUGUAAUGUCUAUCGGUUCAAGAAACGUAGUCGCUAUAAAGAAGCUGGAUAGAGUCGCUCAUGAGGCAGAGAAAGAUUUCAUGACUGAAGUAAAUGUGAUUAGUCAGACUCAUCACAAGAAUUUGGUCCGCCUGAUUGGAUAUUGUAACGAGGGACCUCAUCGUUUGUUGGUUUACGAGUAUAUGAGUAAUGGCACUCUUGCAAGUUUCAUUUUUGGUGAUCUGAAACCUACUUGGAGUCAGAGGACAAGUAUCGCGAUGGGGAUUGCAAGGGGACUUGCAUACCUCCACGAAGAGUGCAGUACACAGAUUAUCCAUUGUGACAUAAAGCCUCAGAACAUUCUCCUUGAUGACUAUCACGUUGCUCGAAUAUCAGAUUUUGGAGUGUCUAAGCUGUUGAUGAUCAAUCAGAGUCGAACGGAUACUAAUAUUAGAGGAACAAGAGGUUAUGUUGCUCCGGAGUGGUUCAGACAUAGUCCAGUCACGGUUAAGGUGGACGUUUACAGCUUUGGUAUACUACUACUAGAGAUCAUCACAUGCCGGAAAUGUUUGGAGAAUGAGGAAAGCUAUGGACUGGAGGCGAUUCUUGUGGAUUGGGUUGUUGAUUGUUUUCAACAAGGAAACUUGGAAGCUUUGGUGAGAAGUGAUAUCGAGGCCUUGAAUGACAAGAAGCAGCUCGAGAGGUUCGUGAUGGUUGGUAUUUGGUGCGUUCAGGAGGAUCCGUUAACGAGGCCUACUAUGAGGAAGGUCUGUCAAAUGCUUGAAGGAUCUGUUGAAGUGACAAUUCCACCAUGUUCAUGUAAUUUUAGCACAACUAUUUAACAUCAUAUGCCUCAUUUACGCGCGAUUUCCUCCUCUGUAUAGUACUUUUGAGUGGUCUAGUUGUAUUACUUUCUUUAAUGUUGAGUUCACUUUAAUAGUACUAAUGAUCUGUAUUGCUCAGACUCUUCAAAAAUGUCAUCGGGUGCAGCUCUUCACAUUUCCAUCUGCAUUUACUAGUGAUGAAAUUGUAAUUGAGACAUUAACAAACAGUUUUUGGGGCAUUUUGUUUUAAAUAACGAAGAAAUCUCCUGGGAACAGUCUCUCUACCAUCACAAGGUAGGGAUAAGCCUGCAUACACAUCACUUUUUCCGAACCCCAAUGGGGUACGUGGGGUAUAUUUUUGUUGUUGUUGUUGUUGUUGUAACCGAGAAAUCUCCCAUUGGUUAGUUGCCUCAACCCCAGUGGGCCCACAAGUUUGAAUUAUUAUUUUUUUCACGGGAGGGGAGGGGGAAUAUGGUCCGUUUCUCUAUCCUGCUCCCACUUAAAUACCACUUGUCAUGUUGGUGACAUAGUUUGAACCACAUAUCUCUCGUUGAACCAAAGUCCGGAGGCAAUAAUUUUUAGGCAUUUUAGUAAGACCUCUCCAUCUUUUACUAGAGAUCUCGAGUUCAGGGAAAAAACUCUUAAUAUAGAACACUUCUCCUUCAAAUACAUCCUAUGUGGUACAAAUCCAAAUUAGUUAGACCAAUGUAUGUAUCUCAGUCAGAUAGUUAGACCAAUAAAAAAUAGAUACAUAAAGCCAUAGAUGGCUAUAGCUUAUUAGCUAGUUUCAAUGGACCAAGACCAAAAAAAAAAAAUUCUUUUUAAAAAAAUGUGACAUUAAUUAACUUUAUUUGAUGGUUCUAGAUGUAACUUGGAAAUCCAAAUUAUUUUAAUCUAUAUGUUUCUAUCCACAAGUAAAAAAAUUCUGUACACUAUUCUUUCCCAUUAUCUGAAUUUUUUUACUACAAAGUUCGAAUAAUAUGUCUUUUCAAGGCUAUUGCCGAACUCAGUUGAAAUGUCAAUAAAGUCAAAUUUCUCGAGUUUAAUUUUUCCUUAAAUAUUUUUUUUUUAAUAUUAUAGAUAAAAUAUUAUAUUAUCGUCUAACGUUUAUCUCACAUAAAAUUCUCAAUUUGCUCAUAAAAAAUCUUUAAAUCAUGGCCUAAAAGUACAGAAGUUGCCAGAGAAAUAAAAAGAGAAUCGUUUACUAAACAAUUGUCUUAAUAAAACAAGUGGAUGGCCAUGAUAUUUUUCUAUUAAUUAAGCUCCUUGUAGAUUGAAAAUUCCUAGGUUGUCAUUCAAGAUUUUGGGUCUUAAAUUCAAAACCAUCAAUCAUAUAAUAAGUGUAAAAGUAUUGACUAUCCAAUUAUUGAAUUCCACUUGUGACUUCAAUAACAAACCAAAAUUUCUUUCAUUAAAAGACUUUAAAAUGUGUUUGACUAAGCUUAUAAAUCGGUCAAAUAAGCUUAUAAACAUUAUUUGUAGCUUAUCUACACAUUUAAAGUCUGUUUGAAUUAGCUGAUUAAAACAUCAAAUGUUGACAAACACCUCUAGGUGUGCGAGAUAGAAGUGUUGAAACUGAUAUUAAAUAGUUACGUGUUUCAUAAAAAGAUUAGGCAUAAUACAUUAAUAUCAUAGAAUUUUCGAUGCUACCAACCAUAGAAUGAAAUAAACGUUUAAUACUAACUAUGUCAUUUUUCUAACUGGUCCCAAUUCCAAAAAUCAUCCUCUAGAAAUCCACCAAAUUUAUUCUUGGCCUUUAAGAACAUAGCCAAAAUUUUUUUUAACAUAAAUUCAAAUUAAAAUAUGUCACAUGCAAAAUAUUACAAGAAAAAAAAAAUAUCUUUAUGAUCUGUAACUAUAUCUACCUAAACACAACAUGUGGAUCUAAAUCUAUGCAAAGAUUUUUUUUGCUUAAUAAUUGAUGCUCGAAAUAUUAUCGUGCUUAAAAAAUAUAAGUGGUUCAAAAUAAUUAUAACUUUUUAAAAUUAAAAUAUAAUUGAUUAUUGCUUUUCACUUUCUUCUUUACUCAAUAAAACAUGAAGACAAUUAAUAUGGUAAAAAAGAAUGUAGCAUCAAAUUGAGACCAGAUAAUAAAUAAAGAUAAUUUAAUCAAAUUACUUUUUUAAUUAAUAUUUUCUCAAGAGUUGUAGAGAAAAUGACAUAAAUAGUCCCUUAAUUAUAGGAGUAGGUCUAAAAUGGUCUCUUAACUAUAUACUUAAUGAAUUUAGUCUUUUAACUAUUAAAAAACUUAUUAGUUUUGGUCCCUUAACUAUACAAUUACCGGUUUUAGCCCAUUAACUAUAAACUUACCGAUUUUAGUCCUUUAAAUAUUUUAAAACUUAUCAGGUUUGUUCUUUGUCCAUUUUUUAAAUACAAAUAGCUUAGGUUUAUAUAUUAACCGAUAUCUUCGUAAAAUUAAAUCUUUAACCCAUUUUAAAGUUGUUUCUCUAUCCCCGGUCUUUUUUCUUCAAACUAUUCUUUUGAAAAGAACAAUAACGUCAACGAUUCAAAGUAAAAUUAAUGAGGGAAGAAGAUAUAAGUCCUAAUUUUAUUCAAUGGAGGAUAAAGUUAAGCAUAUAAUUGUUGUUGAUGACUUGAAUCCGCACUUGAAUAUGCUAAUCAGUGCGGAUUUUAUUUAAUUUACUCAAAUUUCUUUAUGUAAAAUAAAAUGAAUAGAAUAAUAAAAUUGAUCUACCUUUUUAUAAAUUUCAAUUUCUAAAAAAUUAAACAAAUUUCGUUCAAUGAAGUCGUUCGAGUACAAACAUUGGAUUUAAUGAGUAAUAAUUUUUAAUUUUUUUCUUUUUAGAAUAAAAUUUAGCAUAUUCAAGUCAUUAGUAGCAAUAAUAUGCUUCGUUUUAUCCUCUGUUGAAUAAAAUUAUGACUUAUAUUUUCUUUCCUCGUAAAUUUUAUUUUAAAUCGUUGAGGUUAAUGUUUUUCGCAUAAGAUUAAUUUGAAAAAAAAAUAGCGGACAAAGAGAAACAACAGAAAAAGUUGCUAAAUAAUUUAAUCUUUUGAUCGAGAUAUGAAUUCCGUUAAUAUAAAACUAAGCUAUUUGUCCCAUCAUUGGUGAUUCCAUUUUACCUACUUCUCAUUACAUGUUACAAAACAAUAGUGACAUUUUAUACUUAAGACUAAUUAACCAAGAACUUAUUUAAGUGUUUCAUAAUUUACUAUUGACAAUACUAUUUAGUGUGAUUUAUUCUGAUGUAUGGGCAUUAGUGCUAAAAAAUCUUUAAAAUUAUGGGCAUAAACAAAAUAGUAUUGUUGAAAGAAAAUAUCGUCAUAUAGUUGAAACAUGACUCAAAGUAAUAGUAAUAGUAAUAAUAAUUCUCAAUACUACUACUACUACUACUACUAAUAAUAAUAAUAAUAAUAAUAAUGAAGCUAUAAUGAUAAUAACGAUCACAAACUAAUACUGAUCGAUAUUGAGGGUGGUUGUGACGCUUCCUGUUGAGUAUAGUACACAAUUUAGAAUUGAAGUUCGUUUACACAAUAUAAGAAAGACAAUUCUAAAGAAUGAGAUUAAACAGCUUUUUUAGAUUUCAUUAAUGUUGUUUGUUGAUUUUUGAAAAAAGGGGCGGAGAUUGAAGAAGCGAAGCAAACCUAGAAUAGCAGUCUCUUACGUUUUUUCAAGCUCCUUUGAGAUCUUAUUAGUUAAGCACUAGCGCCCCUUUAGAGUAAUGAAGCUAUAAUAAUACUCCCUUCAUCCCAUUUUAUAUGUCACAUUUUUACUUUGCAUUUGCAUUAAAAAAUGAUGUAACUUUAGACAAGAUUAAUUAACUAUUCUAUCAGGGGUAUAAUAGACAAAACAUGGUAAUUUAUGUAUAAAUUUUAUAAAAUGACAAGUAGCUUUGUUUAAGUUUGUCGUAUACCAAUGUUAUACAAAAUAAAAAAUAAGUAGUACUAGAAGUCCUUUAUGUUUUUUGCUGGCAUAUAAAUCUCAAACCAGACUAAUAGACUACUAGAAAACAUAGGAUCCAAAGUAAACUUACUUGCAUGAUUAAAAUAUAUUCCCAACUUACUAGCAUUGCUUAUACCUAACUUUAUGAUACUCGGACUCUUCAAAAAUGUCACCAAGUGUGUAUCAGAUCCUCCAUAAUAGUGCAUUUUUAAGGAUCCGGCACGAAUACGACUAUUUUGUUGAGAGUCCGAGUAACAAAGGCUUAUAUAGAUCUUUUCCCGACUAAAUCUUUUGCUACUCUUCACUAACGAUAAGCUUACGGUUCGCAUGUUUCUGUAUCCUUUUUGCCAUUAUAUUAAUUUUCGGGCAAAUUGUGCUCAGGGAGACCGAUGUCAUCGGCUUAUAUCUUUACUUAGAAUGCACUGCCUCGUAUAUCUCGAGUUCUUGAGAAGUGGAAAGUUAGAUAUGAAACCUUCUAAGUUAGAGUCGACUAUCUGAAUCCUCAUUGAUCAUAUCUCUCUAUUUUAGUUCGUCGUAGACCGAAAUUAUACAGAAUAGCAAAAAUAAUAAUAGCAGAAAGCACUAGAAAUUCUCUAUAUUUUCUAGUUGGUAUUGCUCAUAUUGAUCGUUUUUCGAGACGAAGUCGGGGAUAUAUCGGAAACAACCUUACUACUCUACAAAGGUAGAGGUAAGCCCAGCGUACACCCUACCCUCUCCAGACUCCACUUAUGGGAGUAUACUGAGUAUUUCCCGAUUAAACUUUUGUUACUCUCACACUAAUUUUCUGGGGAAAAUGUGUUCAGGGAGGUCGACGUCAUCGGCAUAUUUCGCUACAAGAAUACAUGGCCAUUGUGUCUUGAGUUCUUUAGAAGUGGAAAGAUUGAUGUGAAACCUUUGAUCACACACAGGUUUGGAUUCUCUCAAAAAGAAGUUGAAGAAGCUUUUGAAACAAGUGUUCGUGGUGGUGAUGCUAUUAAAGUCAUGUUUAAUCUGUACUAACUUCACUUGAAUUGAAAUUAUGAAUUCAAGGUGUUUGAUCACAUGUUAUGGAGGGAUUCUUGAUGUUUAGACGUACUUUGGAGUGUCGGAAACAACUAUGAAACAUAGGUAUAAUACCUAGGAACAUGCAUGAGAAAGUGGGGAAGGAAUGGGAAAAACUUGGCGUCCUUGGCGCUCUGCAAGGCGCGGGGCGCCAGCCCUUGGAGCUCAGAGGAUCUGCUGGGGCGCACUGCUAGGCGCGGCGCCCCAUAGGGGAAACUUCAGAGCCCCUGCUGGGGCGCGCUGGCUGGCGCGACGCCCCAACCCCUUUUUCCCCGAAAUUCGACUUUCCUCUCUUGUUUCUCCAUCUCUAAACCACCCUAACUUCAAGGGUUUCAACUCCAACACUAAGGAUCAUAAAAUCCCUCAACAAACAAGAGAUUCAACUCAAAAAGACAAUCAAAUCAUGUACUAAACCAACAAGAACUUCCAACAACACAACCAACAACUUCAACAGCACAAACCAACAACACCAACAACACAACCCAACAACUUCAACAACAUGACCAAUCUUUUCUCAAAAAUAAAACGAGUUUGGUGUGUGGGGAAAGGAUCAACCCAUCACUAAGAACUCACAUACCUUAAUAGGGAUCACCCCGACGAUAUCCACAACGAUCUAGACGAAAUCUUUGCUUAAUCUUCUCUUUCUCCUCUUCUCCACCUCUUCUUCUCUUCUUCACUCAAAACCCUCACUCUCACUCUUUUAAAAUGGGACAAAAAUGAUCCAAAAAUCAGCCUAACACUAAUAUAUAACCAAAAGAAAUAGCUAGGGAAAAGACCAAAAUGCCCUUAAAAUUUCCGGACGGAUUCCCUGCCAACUGCCCAACUUUCAAAGGGCAUAACUCGCUCAUACGAACUCG
rnacentral:lncRNA from 1 species